rnacentral:rRNA from 1 species
AUGUCGUGGCAGACGUACGUCGACGAGCACCUGAUGUGCGACAUCGAGGGCCACCACCUCGCCUCCGCGGCCAUCCUCGGCCACGACGGCACCGUCUGGGCCCAGAGCGCCGACUUCCCCCAGGUCACCGCCGAUUUCCUGUAUGAUCUCUCCCGCGUCCAGUUCGCGCCCGCCGAGAUCACUGCCAUCAUGAAGGACUUCGACGAGCCGGGGCACCUCGCCCCCACCGGCAUGUUCGUUGCAGGUGCCAAGUACAUGGUUAUCCAGGGCGAACCUGGCGCUGUCAUCCGUGGCAAGAAGGGAGCAGGAGGCAUCACCAUCAAGAAGACCGGGCAGGCGCUGGUGGUCGGCGCCUACGAGGAGCCCAUGACCCCUGGGCAGUGCAACAUGGUGGUGGAGAGGCUCGGCGACUACCUUGUCGAACAAGGCAUGUAG